rnacentral:rasiRNA from 1 species
AACCUAUCUAGAUAGUGCCCGCGC